CGGGGCGUAGCGCAGUUUGGUAGCGCGGAUGGUUCGGGACCAUCAGGUCGCUGGUUCGAAUCCAGUCGCUCCGA
rnacentral:tRNA from 4 species